AUCUUUCCAGGCCAAAAUGAGGUUUAUACAAAUCUAGAAGGUAACCGAGCAAAUUUAGUGCAAACAGCGUGGGCUUUGUUGGCUCUAAUUGGUGCAGGACAGGAUGAAGUAGAUCCAGUGCCAUCCAUCGCGGAAUAAGGUUGUUGAUCAAUUCACAGAUGGAAGAUGGAGACUUCCC